rnacentral:rRNA from 2 species
UGGGGAAUAUUGGACAAUGGGCGCAAGCCUGAUCCAGCAAUGCCGCGUGAGUGAUGAAGGCCUUAGGGUUGUAAAGCUCUUUUACCCGGGAAGAUAAUGACUGUACCGGGAGAAUAAGCCCCGGCUAACUCCGUGCCAGCAGCCGCGGUAAUACGGAGGGGGCUAGCGUUGUUCGGAAUUACUGGGCGUAAAGCGCACGUAGGCGGCCCAUCAAGUCAGAGGUGAAAGCCCGGAGCUCAACUCCGGAAUUGCCUUUGAGACUGAAGGGCUAGCAUGUGAGAGAGGUGAGUGGAAUUCCGAGUGUAGAGGUGAAAUUCGUAGAUAUUCGGAAGAACACCAGUGGCGAAGGCGGCUCACUGGCUCAUACUGGACGCUGAGGUGCGAAAGCGUGGGGAGCAAACAGG